GCUUGAAGAAUUUUGGGGUUUUGGCGAAAUGGGUUUUUCUGGGUUUUUGUUUCUUGCUGGUAAAUCAGUGUUUGACCUAAUCAUUUUGGGUUUGAUUGGCAGAUUGUUUCUCUGUUAUUAAAACGAUUUGUAAAUUCUGAUGCCCCAAUCGUCACAAGCAGAAAGCUCUUGAAUAAGAAAUCAAGUUGAAUGCAUGGUAAGAUGAUGAAAAAGUUGUGGAAUUACUUGAAAUUUAACUGAGAUAGAGACUCUUGAAAUUAUGUUUAUUCAUUGUUGCAUGCGCUAGGGCUUUUUGUAAAUCGAGGGGCUAUUGAUUCGUUCUUGCAUCUGCUUAAUCCAUCUCUCCAAGGCAUUCUGCUGGCUGAGAAUGGUAUUUUGGUGUUCGGUGUAGAUUUGAGGGUCUGUUAGCAGGAUACCAGAUACCAGACUCCCAACUAAGGUCUAUUGAAGAGCAUGAGAAUGGUCAAGGUGUUGACCCUUCAUCAUUUUCAGAAAAGCUAAAAAUAGAGAACGCGACAGCCCGUCACAGACAACACUAGCUACAAAUGAAACAAACGAUGACACCUUGGAGGAUCUGGUGUAAAAAAGUUGUGUCAACUACAACCAUAGGCUACUUCUGUUGACACUAACCAAUUUUGUAACUAGCAUAUAACAAAAGGGAUUUGGUUAGAAGGUCAAUUUUUUGAAAAAUGUAAAUGGUAAGUAUGUCAUUAAACAAACCUGGUAGAAACACUAGCUUUUGAAAUAUUUAGAAUGUAUGAUGAAUGUAUAAUACUUAACGAGCAAGAUAACCCGCGGCAUCGCGCGGGAAGAAUUACCUAGUACUGAUAUUAAAGAUGGGUUUCCGGUUACUGUUACUAAGUCGUUUUGGUAUCGGCUCGAGCCGAGCCGUUUGUCGAAAUUACAUUUUCGUCCUUAUGUUGUGAUAAUUUAUAGUCUUGCCAUUAGUCCGUAUAGCGACGUAGCAGCGCCAGUCUUUCGCUCUUCUCGCCUCUGCAUCCGAAAUACGAAGAUUUCCAGUCACAGUCUCGAUCCCUACACGUCCUAUAUAUAUAAACAAAUAAUUUGACGAAGACGAAGAAGAAGAUCAAGAUAUAGACAUCAGAGGCCGCUUCACGAGCCAUAGGAUCACUGCCAUUCUGUGCCCGCUUGACUCCUGCAAAACCAGGUACCAAGCUGACGUCAGAGCCAAUGAUCAGGCCAAGGACAUGUACCAAUCUCUUUCAUCCUCAACUUUAUGAUCUGUGACAGCCCAUCACAUCCAAGAGCAAAUGAAGAACUCACUUUCACAGAAGAGGCCUCAAUAGCAUAUGAACCAACAGAUAACAUAUCCGAAGAAGUCAUGUAGAAUGAUUCGUUCAAACUCAAAAUGUAGAAUAUUUUGGCGAUAGCUUUGUAAUUUGUGUAUAAAGAACAUCUUCGGUUAGAAUAUCUCUUUCUUGAAAAAUUUAAAUACAGGAGCCUCCUCUUUCUCGAAUAAGCAUAUAUUCAUGUCUGGUUGAAAUACCAGUUUUUAUAAUAUGUAACAUAUUCCGUUAACAUCUCUUAGAUUGUGAUUGCUACUCUAUUGCCUAUAAAAUUUAGA